rnacentral:rRNA from 1 species
UACGACUACAUAUCAGGCAUAUCAAUAAGCGGAGGAAAAGAAACUAACUAAGGAUUCCCUCAGUAACGGCGAGUGAAGCGGGAAGAGCUCAAAUUUGAAAUCUUCAAGGUUUUACCUUGACGAAUUGUAGUUUAAAUGAAGUGUUUUCUGUUGAAGUUUUGGUAAAAGUUCUUUGGAAUAGGACAUCAUAGAGGGUGAGAAUCCCGUAUUUGACCAUUAUUUUCAGCUGUGUGAUACACUUUCAAAGAGUCGGAUUGUUUGGGAAUGCAGUCCAAAAUGGGUGGUAAAUUUCAUCUAAAGCUAAAUAUUGGCGAGAGACCGAUAGCGAACAAGUACCGUGAGGGAAAGAUGAAAAGAACUUUGAAAAGAGAGUUAAACAGUACGUGAAAUUGUCAAAAGGGAAGCGUUUGACACCAGUGUUGUUUUCUCGAAAAUCAAUUAAAAAAAGUUGGAUUUUGUGUUGUAUUGACCUUAACAGCUUGCUUCACUCUUUUCCAGCUUUUUUUAAUGCACUUUUCGUUUAACAAGUCAACAUCAGUUUCUUUUGUUGUAAAAGGGUCAUUGGAAGGUGGCUUUCUCUUCGGAGAAAGUGUUUAUAGCCUUUGAUCUCUGCAAUCGGAGAGACUGAGGUCUGCAGCGUAGAUCCUUCGGGGUUAGAUACAUUUGUGCUAAGCUACAGCUUUUCAUAGACAACUUGUUGACUAUGUUUAGUCUUGUGACUUACCCGCUUAUGCUAUUUUACCUACGCUUAGGAUGUUGAGCGCAUGUCUCUCUCU